rnacentral:rRNA from 1 species
AAAUUGAAGAGUUUGAUCAUGGCUCAGAUUGAACGCUGGCGGCAGGCCUAACACAUGCAAGUCGAACGGUAACAGGAAGCAGCUUGGUGCUUUGCUGACGAGUGGCGGACGGGUGAGUAAUGUCUGGGAAACUGCCUGAUGGAGGGGGAUAACUACUGGAAACGGUAGCUAAUACCGCAUAACGUCGCAAGACCAAAGAGGGGGACCUUAGGGCCUCUUGCCAUCGGAUGUGCCCAGAUGGGAUUAGCUAGUAGGUGGGGUAAAGGCUCACCUAGGCGACGAUCCCUAGCUGGUCUGAGAGGAUGACCAGCCACACUGGAACUGAGACACGGUCCAGACUCCUACGGGAGGCAGCAGUGGGGAAUAUUGCACAAUGGGCGCAAGCCUGAUGCAGCCAUGCCGCGUGUAUGAAGAAGGCCUUCGGGUUGUAAAGUACUUUCAGCGGGGAGGAAGGGAGUAAAGUUAAUACCUUUGCUCAUUGACGUUACCCGCAGAAGAAGCACCGGCUAACUCCGUGCCAGCAGCCGCGGUAAUACGGAGGGUGCAAGCGUUAAUCGGAAUUACUGGGCGUAAAGCGCACGCAGGCGGUUUGUUAAGUCAGAUGUGAAAUCCCCGGGCUCAACCUGGGAACUGCAUCUGAUACUGGCAAGCUUGAGUCUCGUAGAGGGGGGUAGAAUUCCAGGUGUAGCGGUGAAAUGCGUAGAGAUCUGGAGGAAUACCGGUGGCGAAGGCGGCCCCCUGGACGAAGACUGACGCUCAGGUGCGAAAGCGUGGGGAGCAAACAGGAUUAGAUACCCUGGUAGUCCACGCCGUAAACGAUGUCGACUUGGAGGUUGUGCCCUUGAGGCGUGGCUUCCGGAGCUAACGCGUUAAGUCGACCGCCUGGGGAGUACGGCCGCAAGGUUAAAACUCAAAUGAAUUGACGGGGGCCCGCACAAGCGGUGGAGCAUGUGGUUUAAUUCGAUGCAACGCGAAGAACCUUACCUGGUCUUGACAUCCACGGAAGUUUUCAGAGAUGAGAAUGUGCCUUCGGGAACCGUGAGACAGGUGCUGCAUGGCUGUCGUCAGCUCGUGUUGUGAAAUGUUGGGUUAAGUCCCGCAACGAGCGCAACCCUUAUCCUUUGUUGCCAGCGGUCCGGCCGGGAACUCAAAGGAGACUGCCAGUGAUAAACUGGAGGAAGGUGGGGAUGACGUCAAGUCAUCAUGGCCCUUACGACCAGGGCUACACACGUGCUACAAUGGCGCAUACAAAGAGAAGCGACCUCGCGAGAGCAAGCGGACCUCAUAAAGUGCGUCGUAGUCCGGAUUGGAGUCUGCAACUCGACUCCAUGAAGUCGGAAUCGCUAGUAAUCGUGGAUCAGAAUGCCACGGUGAAUACGUUCCCGGGCCUUGUACACACCGCCCGUCACACCAUGGGAGUGGGUUGCAAAAGAAGUAGGUAGCUUAACCUUCGGGAGGGCGCUUACCACUUUGUGAUUCAUGACUGGGGUGAAGUCGUAACAAGGUAACCGUAGGGGAACCUGCGGUUGGAUCACCUCCUUA